rnacentral:rRNA from 1 species
GAUGAACGCUAGCUAUAGGCUUAACACAUGCAAGUCGAGGGACCGGCGCACGGGUGAGUAACGCGUAUCCAACCUAGCCAUAACUAAGGGAUAACCCAGCGAAAGUUGGACUAAUACCUUAUGGUUUAGGUUGGGGAUGCGUCUGAUUGGCUUGUUGGCGGGGUAACGGCCCACCAAGGCAACGAUCAGGAGGGGUUCUGAGAGAAAGGGCCCCCAGAUUGGAACAGAGACACGGUCCAAACUCCUACGGUAGGCAGCAGUGAGGAAUAUUGGUCAAUGGACGCAAGUCUGAACCAGCCAAGUAGCGGGCAGAAUGACGGCGUAUGGGUUGUAAACUGCUUUUAUAUGGGGAUAGGUACCAUAUGAAUAAGCACCGGCUAACUCCGUGCCAGCAGCCGCGGUAAUAC